UACGUAGGGUGCGAGCGUUAAUCGGAAUUACUGGGCGUAAAGCGUGCGCAGGCGGUUUUGUAAGCCAGAUGUGAAAUCCCCGGGCUUAACCUGGGAAUGGCAUUUGGGACUGCAAGGCUUGAGUGCGGCAGAGGAGACUGGAAUUCCUGGUGUAGCGGUGAAAUGCGUAGAUAUCAGGAGGAACACCGAUGGCGAAGGCAGGUCUCUGGGCUGACACUGACGCUCAUGCACGAAAGCGUGGGGAGCAAACAGG
rnacentral:rRNA from 1 species